GGAAGCUAAACCAUAGUGGGUGAUAGUCCCGUAUAGGUAAAAAAUAAUAUUACUUUCGAGUAGGGCGGAACACGUGAAAUUUUGUCUGAAUAUGGGGAGACCACUUCCCAAGCCUAAAUACUCCUUGAUGACCGAUAGUGAACUAGUACCGUGAGGGAAAGGUGAAAAGCACCCCGAUAGGGGGAAUGAAAUAGUAUCUGAAACCGAAUGCCUACAAGCAGUCAGAGCUUCCCUGAGAAGUGAUGGCAUACCUUUUGUAUAAUGGGUCAGCGACUUAGUCUGUGCAGCAAGCUUAAGCCAUUAGGUGUAGGCGGAGGGAAACCAAGUCUUAAUAGGGCGUUAGUUGUACGGAUUAGACUCGAAGCGGGAUGAGCUUAAUAUGAGCAGGUUGAAGAUGCAGUAACAUGCAUCGGAGGACCGAACCAGGAAACGUUGAAAUGUUUUUGGAUGACUUGUGUUAAGGGGUGAAAGGCCAACCAAAUUCCGCUAUAGCUAGUUCUCCGCGAAAACUAUUUAGGUAGUGCGUUGUGUGAAUGAUAUCGGGGGUAAAGCACUGGAUGGGCUAGGGGGAAGCGAUUCCUACCAAACCUAACCAAACUCUGAAUACCGAUACUCUAUGCACAGCAGACAGACUAUAGGUGCUAAGGUCUAUAGUCGAGAGGGAAACAGCCCAGAUCACCAGUUAAGGCCCCCAAAUAAUGGCUAAGUGGGAAAGUAUGUAGAAAGACCAAGACAGGCAGGAGGUUGGCUUAGAAGCAGCCAUCCUUUAAAGAUAGCGUAACAGCUCACUGUUCUAAUUAAGUUUUUCCGCGACGAAGAUGUAACGGGGCUCAAGCCAUUUGCCGAAACUGUGACUUUAUAAUAAUUGCGAUUGUUAUAAGGGGUAGCGGAGCGUUCUGUAAGCCGUUGAAGGUGUUUUGAAAAAAAUACUGGAGGUAUCAGAAGUGCGAAUGCUGACAUGAGUAGCGAUAAAGAGUGUGAGAGACACUCUCGCCGAAAUCCUAAGGUUUCCUGCGUAAAGUUAAUCUGCGCAGGGUUAGUCGACCCCUAAGGCGAGGCAGAAAUGCGUAGUCGAUGGGAAACAGGUUAAUAUUCCUGUACCUUCUGAGAGUUGACGGAUCAUGUAAAUAGUAUUUUCUUAUUGGAUUGAAAAUGCUGUGAAAUGGUUCCUGGAAAUAGCCUCAGAAUAUAGAUCGUACCUAAACCGACACAGGUAGGAAGGUAGAGUAUACCAAGGCGCUUGAGAGAAUGAUGUUGAAGGAACUCGGCAAAAUGCUCUUGUAACUUCGGAAUAAGAGAGACCAAUAUUGAGGCAACUCUAUAUUGGUGGCACAGAAUAGGGAGAAGCGACUGUUUAUCAAAAACACAGGUCUCUGCUAAGUCGUAAGACGAUGUAUAGGGACUGACGCCUGCCCGGUGCCGGAAGGUUAAAUGGUGGAGUGCAAGCUCUAAAAUGAAGCCCCGGUGAACGGCGGCCGUAACUAUAACGGUCCUAAGGUAGCGAAAUUCCUUGUCAGGUAAGUUCUGACCCGCAUGAAUGGCGUAACGAUUUCUCCGCUGUCUCCAACAUCAACUCAGCGAAAUUGAAUUCUCCGUGAAGAUGCGGAGUACGUGUAGUUAGACGGAAAGACCCCGUGCACCUUUACUAUAGCUUUACAGUGGUAUUAGAAAAUUAAUGUGUAGGCUAGGUGGUAGACUU
rnacentral:rRNA from 1 species